rnacentral:rRNA from 1 species
CAUUAAAGUCACAACGGCAAAAGAUGAGCAUGCGUCCAUUAGCUAGUUGGUAAGGUAACGGCUUACCAAGGCUACGAUGGGUAGGGGUCCUGAGAGGGAGAUCCCCCACACUGGUACUGAGACACGGACCAGACUCCUACGGGAGGCAGCAGUGAGGAAUAUUGGACAAUGGGCGCAAGCCUGAUCCAGCCAUGCCGCGUGCAGGAUGACGGUCCUAUGGAUUGUAAACUGCUUUUGUACAGGAAGAAACACUACUUCGUGAAGUAGCUUGACGGUACUGUAAGAAUAAGGAUCGGCUAACUACGUG